CACUGGCCAGCGGUGAACGAAAACAAUGCCCCAUAAUGCACUGGGAAUCAGGGGCGUCCAGUAUGACAAUACGCUUGUAGGCGACCUUAACAUCCUGCUAGCUCAAAACUAGCAUUGAUUGUAGUGUACCUAGAUGUACUGCGAGCUAAAGAACUAUGCUAACGCUACUUGCUAGGUAAAUGUGUUUAAAACAAGGGUUGAUUUUCUUAAAGCUGCAGUAGGUGAGAUUUUUUUGAUCUGAUCUUAACGUAGACAGACAGACUCAUGGUUAACAGACUGACUCACCGUCUACUGUGAGCGAGUUUCAUUCACCAGUGCAGACAACAACAAGGUUCUGCUUUUCGUUCCCCUCAACGGCUACCUUACAAAUAACCAACCCUCCCACCCGCUAGCACUACUAGCUAACAAGCCACAUCCUCAAAAUGUUAUGCUAGCCCAGUCAAGACAGAACCCCAGCCCAGUUCACGCGUGAUGUGUGGGUACCUCCUCCUGAUCGGUGGGCCAGUCUCCCAGAACCCCCACCUCCUCAUCUCCUCCUCCACUCGUUCUGAGGACUUGCCAAUCCUACGGCGUGGUCGUCCCACGCAGCUCUGCUUCAGCCCGCGGCUCUGUAGCACCAGGACUGAUGGUACUGAGCCAGAGUACUGCAGUAUCGCUAAGGUCCCAGAGUACUGCAGUAUCGCUAAGGUCCCAGAGUACUGCAGUAUCGCUAAGGUCCCAGAGUACUGCAGUAUCUCUAAGGCCCUAGAAUGCUGUAGUACCUCUACCUCUAUGUGACCAGUAAAGUAGUAUUCAGUACCCAGUACACUGCAAUAUCUCAAUCUCUGUGUACACAAAAAUGUAGUACCCAGUAUCCAAUACCCAGAAUACUGCAGUAUGGAGUAUUGCAUUGUGUCUGUAUCGACCGAGUACCUCACAACCAUUGGAGGAACACGGCAUUGGCAAGUUACCCAAGCCAGUAUCUCUGUGUCUGUAUACUCUGUGCGUGCGCAAGUGUGUGCGUGUGUCUUUGUGUGUGUGUGAGCAUGUUGUGCGCUGUUUGUUGUGUGGUAUGUGUGUGUGUUUUGUGCGUGUGCGUGUCGGGCUGGCGCCCCAACCGACACGCACACGUCCGUGCUGUCAAUCAACCUGUGUGCCCGCCUCUUUUCUCUUCCAGAGUACGGCAGUGCAGGGGAAAGAUCGCGGAGGGCCAAAAAAAGAAACAUAGGUAGUUACCCGUAAUCAAUAAUCAAUAAUCAUCUUUAAUCAAUAACCAUCAAUCAAUACAUUGUUGAUUAUCGAUUAUUGAUCAUAAUCAAUUACUAAUACAACCAGCUGAUGAGAUACUCGCCCGCCUCCCCCAAUCACACCCUCUCCUGCUCCUCCCCCUGCUCCUCCUCCUCCCUCCCACUUCUCCCCCCCUCUCUCAUUGAGACCCUUAUGGUAGAGAGACAGACAGAGAGAGA
ensembl:lncRNA